GGAGGGAUCAUUAACACGUAUCCAAAACGUUCAAACCCAAACCGUGCUCUUUUGUUUCCCAUUGAGAUUAGGUGCUACUAGUAAGCCACAGAUGGAUUCCCCCUCUCUAGGGAGGGGACUGCUUACAGUAACUAUCGAUCCCUCGAGGAUCAAUCUAGUUUCAAUGGUGUAUUUCCAAGCCAUCUGGUUAUUAGACCAAACCGGUUCCGACCCGGAGUCUAGUAGCCUUACUAAACCCCAUUUUUUUAACCCCUUUAUUUUAAUUAAUUACUGACUUUAUAAAAAUGUUGGAUAAUCCCAUAUUUUUUGUAUACGAAACGCGAACAACUCUUAGCAAUGGAUAUCUUGGUUCUCGUACCGAUGAAGAACGCAGCGAAAUGCGAUACGUAAUGCGAAUUGCAGAAUUCAGUGAAUCAUCAAAUCUUUGAACGCAAAUUGCGCUCUCGGGAUAGACCUGGGAGCAUGCCUCUCUGAGUAUCGGUUCUAACUCUACUCGACAGCGUACUUUCUUUAUUGAAAGUAUUAGCUGACGGAAAAUGAGUGUCUCAAUUACUGAACAAAUUGAGUCACUUGAAAAUCAUACGAAAACUUCAGAACUCCUAGUAAGCAAGACUUCUUGGUAUUUAUAUCAAGAAUAGCCCUUUGAGAUAUACCCUUGUUGGAUUUUCCAAGUCAAAAAUUUUGACUGUAGGGAUGCAAAGGUGUGGCUUAUUUACUGGUGACGUGGAUAGAACUACCUUCGGGUGUUUCAAAACGUCAAUGCCUUUAAAUUGAGUCCAUAUUUUCGCAUCCUACUCCAAAUACAGUUGAAAAAAAGUUCAGUACUUUUUUUGUACCUUGGGAUUUUCAAUGUCUUUUCAGUAAGAGGGGUAACACUUCGAGUGUGUGAAUUGUUUACUGGUUUGAGCCGCUGGUUAUUAUUAGUUUUCCGAAGAAAUUACAUGUGGGAAGGGCAUUAGUCUUACCACUUUGAAAAUAGAUCUCAGAUGAAGCAAGAGGACCCCCUGAAUUUAAGCAUAUUAUUAAGGGGAGGAAAAGAAACUAACAAGGAUUCCCCUAGUAACGGCGAGUGAAGCGGGAUGAGCUCAAAUUGAAAAUCGGCAACCCAUGCGGGUUGUCGAAUUGUAGCCUAGAGACGUAUUGUCAGCGUGUGGCCCAGGUAUAAAUCUUUUGAAACAAGGUAUCACAGAGGGUGAGAAUCCCGUCUUUGACCUGGAGAUCGCCGCGUACGACGUACGUUCGUAGAGUCGAGUUGCUUGGGAAUGCAGCUCUAAAUGGGUGGUAAAUUUCAUCUAAAGCUAAAUAUUGACGAGAGACCGAUAGCGAACAAGUACCGUGAGGGAAAGAUGAAAAGAACUUUGAAAAGAGAGUUAAAAAGUACUUGAAAUUGUUAAGAGGGAAGCGCUGGAAACCAGUCAUUAUCUAUAACUAUACUUACUAUUUGCUCUCGAAGGAUGUUGCGGAUCAGAGUGCUAAACCUGGUCGGAUAUCGGACGAAGGGUGAGUGGGUCCUGUAGUUGUAGAUGGGUCAGAAUCAAUUCGAUUCGCGGGUGAAGACUAUGGGAAAGGUAGGAUCUCCGGAUCUGUUAUAGUCCUAUAGGCCUGACCGUGGGUUGGAUUGAGGAUGUCUAAUGUGCGCCGCAAGGUUUCGAUUGCUUAUUUCUGCUAGGUUAGCCGCUUUGGAGAACAAUGUUCUGCGGGUAGCGAAGCUUGGUACUAAGUGGGACAAUCAGAUGCACAUUCGCGAUUCUGACGAAAUGGUUUUCAUCGACCCGUCUUGAAACACGGACCAAGGAGUCUAACAUGUAUGCGAGUAUUUGGGUGGUAAACCCUGAUGCGUAAUGAAAGUGAAGGUAGUUUCGGCUACUGAGGUAGGAAUCCGGUAACGGAGGCACUAUCGACCGAUCGUCACUUGUGAUAGAUUUGAGUAAGAGCAUAUCUGUUGGGACCCGAAAGAUGGUGAUCUAUGCCUGAACAGGGUGAAGCCAGGGGAAACUCUGGUGGAGGCUCGUAGCGAUACUGACGUGCAAAUCGUUCGUCUGAUUUGGGUAUAGGGGCGAAAGACUAAUCGAACCAUCUAGUAGCUGGUUCCCUC
rnacentral:misc_RNA from 1 species